AUACAACGACACACACCAGCCCCGGGGCUGCGUACCUAACGAGCCGACUUCCCCGUCGCCCACACGACCAGAGUUGCCACCCCACCAAACGACCCGGAGCCGCCACUCCGGCUUACAAACCACUUAAACUCACACACGUCGGCCCCGAGGCCGCACUCCACACGAGUCGACGACUCUGCCGUCCACGCGACCAGAACCGACACUCCACGGCACAGAGGUGCUCUCCGGAGCCGCCGCUCCGACUUCCCCGCCGGUCCCGAGGCCGCGCACACGCCUGGCCGACGAUGAACCCGCAAAGCCACCCGAGCCACCGCAACCUGACGAAGGACCAGACCUCCAAGGCGUCGCCCCCAAGAGGGAAGCGACAAGUACGUCGUCGACGCCCACUCCGACCAAGGUCGAAACUUGGGUUUUCACCCAGAGAGCCCGAGACCGAGGCGACAAUGGUGGUGAAGGGGCUCCACGACGACGCCUCCAAGAAGGAAACGACGUCCUAGGACGCCGUCGACGCCGGCAACGACCAAGGUCGAGCUAGGCUUUCGCCCGGAGCUCACCAAGUCCAUCCUCACCACAGCCUGCCCAGCAAACCGUCUCCGGCAACAUGCCGACCGCCCUCGCCCAAGCCACGUGACCAAGCACGCAAAGCAGCACGCCGCCGCCAACCACCACCGGCUGCAGAAACCAUUGCAGCCCACCACGCUCCACAAGCCGGGUCUGGGAGGAAGUAGCGCUGCGAACAGCCCUCGGCAGGACCACCCACACCAUGCAGAGGCCACAACCCGGGGUGCCCAGCAGCCCAAACUGGCACCACGCCGGCCGGGGCACACCACAACACCUUCCCAGAGGGCCGGCUCUGCCAAACAGCUCCGCCAAGCCAGGGAGGCCGGAAGCUGCAGCUCCAGAUCCACCCAUGGCCGCCACGAGCCGCCGGCCCACCACCACGCGCGUCCGCCCUGCCGCCCGCGCGGCCCAGGAC
rnacentral:rRNA from 1 species